rnacentral:rRNA from 1 species
UGAAUACGAGACGCUACGGCGUCGAAGCAGUCUAUGUCAUACUUUCAAGAAAAGCUCGCAAUGUCAUAAACAAAUAAUGCCUGUACCAUAACCGACACAGGUGGGUAGGUAGAGUAUACUAAGGGGCGCGAGAUAACUCUCUCUAAGGAACUCGGCAAAAUGACUCCGUAACUUCGGGAGAAGGAGUGCCUUAUUUAUAAGGUUGCAAUAACAAGAUCCAAGCAACUGUUUAUCAAAAACACAGGUCUCCGCUAAGUCGUAAGACGAUGUAUGGGGGCUGACGCCUGCCCAGUGCCAGAAGGUUAAAGAAGUUGGUUAGUGUAUGCGAAGCUGAUGACUGAAGCCCUGGUGAACGGCGGCCGUAACGAUAACGGUCCUAAGGUAGCGAAAUUCCUUGUCGGGUAAGUUCCGACCCGCACGAAAGGCGUAAUGAUUUGGAUACUGUCUCGGAGAGAGGCUCGGUGAAAUAGACUUGUCUGUGAAGAUGCGGACUACCUGCACCAGGACAGAAAGACCCUAUGAAGCUUUACUGUAACUUGAAAUUGGAAUUGGACUUUGCUUGCGCAGUAUAGGUGGGAAGCGUUGAAAAUAUUCUUGCGGGAGUAUUGGAGCUAUCAGUGAGAUACCACUCUUGUAAUGUUAGAUUUCUAACUUUGAACCAUAAUCUGGUCAAAGAACAGUUUCAGGUGGGCAGUUUGACUGGGGCGGUCGCCUCCCAAAUGGUAACGGAGGCGUACAAAGGUUUCCUCUGAACGGAUAGAAAUCGUAUCUAGAGUGUAAAGGCAUAUAAGCUUGACUGUGAGACCUACAAGUCGAGCAGGGACGAAAGUCGGUCUUAGUGAUCUGACGGUACUGAGUGGAAAGGCCGUCACUCAACGGAUAAAAGUUACUCUAAGGAUAACAGGCUGAUCUCCCCCAAGAGUUCACAUCGACGGGGAGGUUUGGCACCUCGAUGUCGGCUCAUCGCAUCCUGGGGCGGUAGUACGUCCCAAGGGUUGGGCUGUUCGCCCAUGAAAGCGGUACGCGAGCUGGGUUCAGAACGUCGUGAGACAGUUCGGUCCAUAUCCGGUGUAGGCGCUAGAAUAUUGAGAGGAGCCUUCUUUAGUACGAGAGGACCGAGGAGGACACACCGCUGGUGUACCAGUUAUCGUGCCAACGGUAAACGCUGGGUAGCUAUGUGUGGAGUGGAUAACCGCUGAAAGCAUCUAAGUGGGAAGCCCACCUCGAGACGAGUAUUC